rnacentral:lncRNA from 1 species
GGUGACCACAGUAUGCGGAGCAACACGUGCCAGAACACAGUCGAACGAGCGAGCAAAGCAGUACAGGCUGUGAGUGGACAGCCGGAGAAACAAAGCUGUUGCUUGACUACUAUCAGCAGUACUUUUCACAAAUAGGGCCUAUGAAGAAGUUCAAAAAUAAAAAGUCAAUGUUUGCCCGAAUCGCGGUCAACAUCACAGAGGCGGUUGGAGUGCCUGAAACAGGGGAACAGUGCUGCAGCCGCUACAAAACCGUCAUGUGACGAAAAAGAAGCGCUGCAGCACAUAACGACAAAUCGGGGAAUUUCCCUUGCGACGUUCCUUUUGAAGACGAGAUAGCUAAAAUACGUUGGCUAGACGAUAGCCUUGAGCCGAAAGAGCUGAGGGACAGCUCUGGGAUAGUUUCCAAUAAAACACCGCCCAGCCAAGCGUCAACGAGCCAGGAGCUGACGAGCCCAGAUUCAACUAGCCAGGAGUCGACCAGCAUAACGAAGGAACCUGAGCCCAUAAAGCCGAAACUCUCGACUUCCAGAACACUGGAAAUGAAGCAUUUCUUUGACGAGAUGAGCAAAAUUCAGGAAGAAAAAAAAACGAACUGAACGCGAGGAUGAAAGAAGGAAGCGUCACGAAGAGAA